rnacentral:rRNA from 1 species
UCAGCUUUAGACGGUAGGGUAUUGGCCUACCGUGGCUAUGACGGGUAACGGGGAAUUAGGGUUCGAUUCCGGAGAGGGAGCCUGAGAAACGGCUACCACAUCUAAGGAAGGCAGCAGGCGCGCAAAUUACCCAAUCCUAAUACAGGGAGGUAGUGACAAGAAAUAACAAUACAGGACUUUACGGUUUUGUAAUUGGAAUGAGUUAAGUAUAAACCCCUUUACAAGUAUCAAUUGGAGGGCAAGUCUGGUGCCAGCAGCCGCGGUAAUUCCAGCUCCAAUAGCGUAUAUUAAAGUUGUUGCAGUUAAAAAGCUCGUAGUUGGAUUUCUGUUAAUACCUUAUAUAUAAUAUUUUUUUUUAAAUAUUAUUAUGUAAGAUUAACAUAAUUCAUAUUUUUUAAGACUGAAUUUUUAGUUUUGAUAAUAUGAAAUUUUACUUUGAGAAAAUUAGAGUGCUUAAAGCAGGCUUUUGCCUUGAAUACUCCAGCAUGGAAUAAUAAUAAAAGAUUUUUAUCUUUUUUUUAUUGGUUCUAAGAUAAAAAUAAUGAUUAAUAGGGACAGUUGGGGGCAUUUGUAUUUAACAGUCAGAGGUGAUAUUCUUAGAUUUGUUAAAGACAAACUAAUGCGAAAGCAUUUGCCAAGGAUGUUUUCAUUAAUCAAGAACGAAAGUUAGGGGAUCGAAGACGAUCAGAUAC